rfam:Oryza barthii chromosome 12, whole genome shotgun sequence.
AAAAAGACAAACCCUGAAUUUUUAUGUCAACGUUUGACUGUCCGUCUUAUAUGAAAUUUUUUUAUAAUUAGUAUUUUCAUUGUUGUUAGAUGAUAAAACAUGAUUAGUACUUUAUGCGUGACUUAUCUUUUUAAUUUUUUUUAUAAUUUUUUCAAAUAAGACGGACGGUCAAACGUUGGACACGGAAAUCAGGGUUUGUCUUUUU